rnacentral:rRNA from 1 species
UACGUAGGGUGCAAGCGUUAAUCGGAAUUACUGGGCGUAAAGCGUGCGUAGGCGGUUUGUUAAGUCUGAUGUGAAAUCCCCGGGCUCAACCUGGGACGUGCAUUGGAAACUGGCGAGCUAGAGUACGGGUAGAGGUGGUGGAAUUCCCGGUGUAGCAGUGAAAUGCGUAGAGAUCGGGAGGAACACUCGUGGCGAAGGCGGCCACCUGGACCAGUACUGACGCUGAGGCACGAAAGCGUGGGGAGCAAACAGG